CCUACGGGAGGCAGCAGUGAGGAAUAUUGGUCAAUGGACGAGAGUCUGAACCAGCCAAGUCGCGUGAAGGAUGACUGCCCUACGGGUUGUAAACUUCUUUUAUAAAGGAAUAACAAGAGACACGUGUGCCUUUUUGAAUGUACUUUAUGAAUAAGGAUCGGCUAACUCCGUGCCAGCAGCCGCGGUAAUACGGAGGAUCCGAGCGUUAUCCGGAUUUAUUGGGUUUAAAGGGAGCGUAGAUGGGUUGUUAAGUCAGUUGUGAAAGUUUGCGGCUCAACCGUAAAAUUGCAAUUGAGACUGGCAGUCUUGAGUACAGUUGAGGUAGGCGGAAUUCGUGGUGUAGCGGUGAAAUGCUUAGAUAUCACGAAGAACCCCGAUUGCGAAGGCAGCUUACUAAACUGUGACUGACAUUGAUGCUCGAAAGUGUGGGUAUCAAACAGGAUUAGAUACCCCUGUAGUC
rnacentral:rRNA from 1 species